rnacentral:rRNA from 1 species
UACGUAGGGAGCAAGCGUUGUCCGGAAUUACUGGGUGUAAAGGGAGCGUAGGCGGGAUGGCAAGUUGGGUGUUAAAUCUACCGGCUCAACUGGUAGUCGCACUCAAAACUGCUAUUCUUGAGUGAAGUAGAGGCAGGCGGAAUUCCUAGUGUAGCGGUGAGAUGCGUAGAUAUUAGGAGGAACACCAGUGGCGAAGGCGGCCUGCUGGGCUUUUACUGACACUGAGGCUCGAAAGUGUGGGGAGCAAACAGG